ACACCUCGAUCAGUGCGACAUGGGACGUUGUUGUGUUCCCGGAUGCCGCGGCAAUUAUGACAGUGGUCCGAAAGUGCGUGUUUUCGCAUUCCCCAAGGAUGAAGCGCCGAAGAAGUCAUGGAUAAAAGCCAUUCCGCGAAAGGAUUUCACACCAAGCAUACACUCCAAGGUCUGCGAACUCCACUUCCUCGAGGCUGACUUCAUCAGAAAGCUGUCACAUUUCGACGCAGCGUCGGGAAGGACUUUGCAGCAGCGUACUCGUUCUGAAGAGCAGGAACAUAGAUGUGGAAGCUAACACAAUGAAUGACAGCUUGUCAAGAGGAAGCUUAAAGCUUCCGCAGCCAUGUACUGUGCACAUGAUGCUGGUGACAACGCUUGUUGUCGAAAAGCUCACACCAAGGGAGAAAAUGCAAAGGCGUUCCUCGCGUCGAACAACCAACGAGGCAUUGUCAGCUCCAUUUCCACAUCACUGCUAGGAGAUGUUGAGCUAAAGACUUGUGAAAAUGGCCAUACCUCUGAGACUAUCGUGCGGCAUGUAGUGCGUGUUGCAACAAAUGUCGCUUUGAACAACUUUUGUAGACUUCGAAACGACACCAUCCAAAG